ACAUGCAAGUCGAACGCUUUUUCUCUCACCGGAGCUUGCUCCACCGAAAGAAAAGGAGUGGCGAACGGGUGAGUAACACGUGGGUAACCUGCCCAUCAGAAGGGGAUAACACUUGGAAACAGGUGCUAAUACCGUAUAACAAUCGAAACCGCAUGGUUUCGGUUUGAAAGGCGCUUUUGCGUCACUGAUGGAUGGACCCGCGGUGCAUUAGCUAGUUGGUGAGGUAACGGCUCACCAAGGCAACGAUGCAUAGCCGACCUGAGAGGGUGAUCGGCCACAUUGGGACUGAGACACGGCCCAAACUCCUACGGGAGGCAGCAGUAGGGAAUCUUCGGCAAUGGACGCAAGUCUGACCGAGCAACGCCGCGUGAGUGAAGAAGGUUUUCGGAUCGUAAAACUCUGUUGUUAGAGAAGAACAAGGAUGAGAGUAAAAUGUUCAUCCCUUGACGGUAUCUAACCAGAAAGCCACGGCUAACUACGUGCCAGCAGCCGCGGUAAUACGUAGGUGGCAAGCGUUGUCCGGAUUUAUUGGGCGUAAAGCGAGCGCAGGCGGUUUCUUAAGUCUGAUGUGAAAGCCCCCGGCUCAACCGGGGAGGGUCAUUGGAAACUGGGGAACUUGAGUGCAGAAGAGGAGAGUGGAAUUCCAUGUGUAGCGGUGAAAUGCGUAGAUAUAUGGGGGAACACCAGUGGCGAAGGCGGCUCUCUGGUCUGUA
rnacentral:rRNA from 1 species